CACGGCGCUGAAAAAUCUAUCAUAAUGUUUUAGUACGACUUUGGUAAGCUAUGAAGCCGCACCGCUUGAUGGAUUGUACUGUGCUUCAACAUACGAGUAUUAUUAUGGUGUAGACGACUUUUGCCGUCGUCGCUCGGGUUCCACUGACCACCCAGGAAGGACAUCGCUUUUAGCACAGGUUUAAUUCUCUAUUUUUCAAUAAAGCUUUUCUGCAGCUCGGAUCACUUUUCACUUCCUCUCCGCUGCUCGCUCCUCGGUCGCUCUUUCAGCCGGCCGCGUCGUCGUCUCCCGUGCGCUGUUCAAUCACUCUUUCGCUGUUCAAUCACUCUUUCGCGCCGAUCUCUCCUACCUUCUCCCCUUUUAUGCAGCGUCAGGAGAAAUGUUAAUCGUUUCCUGGUGUGUGAGCCAUGCAUCUGAAUUAGAUUGCGGCGGCGUCGCUCCCGGCACGCCCCGCCUCUCCGCUCCGCCGCAUUCUCCACCUCCUUGCCGCCAGCCCUGCCCUGCCCCGCCGUCGGCUGCGCCUCCCCACAUAUGGUGUGUGUGUGUAUAAGGUAAGACAUAUAAUCUGGCGUUUUUUUCCGCAAUAUUAUGCAAAAGCAACUUUUCUUACAGUCUUGUACAUGCUGAUAUAUAUUUGGGAUCUGCAUAAAACCUGAAAAAUGAAGCUUAUUUUUUUUCAAUAUCUUCUUGUUAUGUGAGAUUCAUCCUCCGCUGUUACCAUUUCUACUAUAAAGUAGUGUAAAGUUCUUAAUUAUAUCAGCCAGUAAACUCACCAUGAGAGAGCUAAAACAUACCGGUGUCGUGAGUUGACAUUAUUCACCCAAGGAACUUUAGUUAUUAGAGAGUUCCGGUUGGACGCUUUUUCACGGGACACAUUUGUUAUUUCCGCAAGAGGAGAUGCUGCUCCGUUUUUGACUGAAGUAAAGUCUGAAUGUCAUUCAGUUAGCUCCAUCUUUUGACACUUCUUCCACUCCCGUCCUUGCACGCUACACCGCUACAACAAAGAUGACGGGGAGAAGACGCUGCCGAAGGUGAGCCACGUAAAUAAGACCGCCCACAAGACUGCACAUCCGGAAGCGGCUGUCAGAGAGCAGCUUGAGGAUGGAAAACAUAAUCCAUGCAACAUUUUGACCAAAGAACCACCAUUUAAUGUUAUGUAGACCACAAGGAAGUGUUUUACAUUUCGAAAGCAAAAAUAGUAAUAUGAUACCUUUAAUGCGCCUUAUAAUCCGUUGCGCCUUACAUAUAAAAAAAAAAAGAUCGUUAAUAGACAAUUCAUUGGCAGUGCGCCUUAUAAUCCGAUGCUACCUAUGGUCCGGAAAAUACGGUAGUACCUUUUUGUUGAUUUACACAAGACUAGGGGCCGGUCCCAAUACACCCCCCUCACCCUACUUUUUAGCCCUGUCCCUAAAUGUUGUGCUUUUCUGUGAGAUUUAACUCUAUCUUUUUAUUUUAUUUUUGGUUUAUAACUUGAUUGCAAGCAAAUAAUCUGUACCUUUUUUAUGUUAACAAUUGCACUUUUAUGGCUAUUGAGUAAUCCUAUUAUAUCUGAUUGAAAUAGAUAAAUGUUGUACAUGUAUCAAAUAAUUUAGUAAAAUUUUGGACCUCAUUUCAAAUAGCAUUUUUGCAGCCUAAUAGAAAAAAAGAUUAACUUUAUUUUCCUUUUCUUUUCAUCCAGAAGAUGACCGUUAUGAAACAGGAACACCGCAUCAGUGCAGUAUCAUACAGUACUGGCUGUCGUCCAGAGUCGAGACCCAGGAUGGACCGCUCGUCGGGACCCAGGAUGGACCGCUCGCCUGUAUCGGUUGUGGACAUCUCUACGCUGCUGAUCCGCCUCCGCUUGAGAUGGUUUCCUGUGGAUGGGACUCUCGCUGCUGUGUUGGAGCCACUAUGGAUUGAACUUUCACAGUAUCAUGUUAGACCCGCUCGACAUCCAUUGCUUUCGGUCCCCUAGAGGGGGGGGGGGGGGGUUGCCCACAUCUGAGGUCCUCUCCAAGGUUUCUCAUAGUCAGCAUUGUCACUGGCGUCCCACUGAAUGUGAAUUCUCCCUGCGCACUGGGUGUGAGUUUUCCCUUGCCCUUUUGUGGGUUCUUCCGAGGAUGUUGUAGUCGUAAUGAUUUGUGCAGUCCUUUGAGACAUUUGUGAUUUGGGGCUGUAUAAAUAAACAUUGAUUGAUUGAUUGACAUCAGGUGAGUAAACCAAUGCAAUAUCACUGAUUGACACAUUAUUUCUAUUUUCUUGAUGAAUACUCUCCCCAAAUAGCAUGUAGGAGUCUACAUUUCCCUCCAUCACAAGUUGGAUGCCGGGCGCUGCAGAAGGUCCUUAGAGUCAACUCUUGUAGAGAACCUGACCAGAGUCUGAGCAGAGUGUAGGAGUUUGUGAAAUCAUCUAAUGGAGAAAAUCUGCUCGGGCUGCAUCAGGUAGGAGCUUGUAGAAGUAAGAUGUCAAUGCACUGCAAAAAGUCAGGGUUCCAAAACAAGAAAAAAAGAACACAAAAAUGAGGGGUAUUUUAUUUGAACUAAGCAAAAUUAUCUGCAAAUAGAACAAGAAAAUGUGGCUUGUCAAGACUUUCCAAAACAAGUCAAAUUAGCUAACCCCAAAUACCUUAAAAUAAGUAUAUUCUCACUAAUAACACGUGCACCUUUCUUGGUACAAAAAAAAGAGACUUUUUUGCUCAAUAUGUUGAAAAAUAUUCUUAAAUUAAGUAAAUAAUAGUGUCAUUAUCUUGACAUAAUGAUAUACGCUAGGCAUUACAUUUCUUAAAACCAGCAAACUUAUACUAAAAACUAAUUUAUUGUUCUUAAUGGAAAGGCAACACCCCGCGACCCUGGAAGGGACAAGCUGUAGAAAAUGGAUGGAUGGAAAAUCAACAAGGCAACCGCUUGUUACUCUCGGGGUUUUCUAGCCGCUCAAGCAAAUCAUAUUGUCUAAAAAUGCAUUUCCCCAUCGACAACAUGACAUCAUACAUACAUGCAGCCCGGCCAUCGGCCACAUUUUUUUAGUUGUAAUUUUGAAGAAUUGAUCUGAAUGUGCAUGAACCUUUUCUGUUCACAAUUGUUGGAAAUGACACAUGUUAAAUGUUUAAAUAAUAACUGUGUACUGUGCCAACUGCACUACUUUAUGAGUCAAAUUUUCUAUUGUUUCAUUGAAAA